rnacentral:rRNA from 1 species
CCUACGGGAGGCAGCAGUGGGGAAUAUUGGACAAUGGGCGCAAGCCUGAUCCAGCUAUGCCGCGUGAGUGAUGAAGGCCCUCGGGUUGUAAAGCUCUUUCAGCAGGGAAUAGAAGAGAAGGUAGCUUAAAUAGAUGCCCUGACUAUAUACGUGACAGCAGCCGCGGUAAUAUGCAGGGGGCAAGCGUUAUCCGGAGUUACUGGGUGUAAAGGGAGCGAAGACGGUUAAGUAAGUCAGAUGUGAAAGGCCAAGGCUCAACCGUGGAACUGCAUUUGAAACUGGCAGACUAGAGUACGGGAGAGGUAGGAGGAAUUCGUAGUGUAGCGGUGAAAUGCGUAGAUAUUAGGAAGAACACCGAUGGCGAAGGCAGCUUACUGGACCGAAACUGACGUUGAGGCUCGAAAGCGUGGGGAGCAAACAGGAUUAGAUACCCGAGUAGUC